rnacentral:rRNA from 1 species
AUUGAACGCUGGCGGCAGGCCUAACACAUGCAAGUCGAAUGGUAACAGGAAACAGCUUGCUGUUUCGCUGACGAGUGGCGGACGGGUGAGUAAUGUCUGGGAAACUCCUGAAUGGGGGGGGAUAACAACGGAAAAGGGUGGCUAAUACCGAAUAACUCCGAAAGCCCAAAGGGGGGGACCUUGGGGCGUCUGGCCAGCAGAGGCGCCCAGAUGGUCAUAGCUAGGCGGGGGGGUAACAGCUCACCUGGGUGGAGAUCCCUAGCGGGUCUGAGGGGGUGACGAGCCACACUGGAACUGAGACACGGUCCAGACUCCGACGGGAGGCAGCAGUGGGGAAUGUUGCAAAAUGGGCGGAAGCCUGAUGCAGCCAUGCCGCGUGUAUGAAGAAGGCCUGCGGGUUGUAAAGUACUUUCAGCGGGGAGGAAGGGAGUAAAGUUAAUACCUUUGCUCAUUGACGUUACCCGCAGAAGAAACACCGGCUAACUCCGU